GGGAGCAGAACAGCGGGGGCAGUCGUCACAGAAGAAGAAAAGCAGCACUGACGUGUCACUACAGCCAUAGAAGAUGGUGCCAAAGCCAAAGUGAUGCGAUGGACCACUUUGAAUCAGCCACUCACACAGAAAGCUGUUCAGCAGCCAUCACAGACAUUUCAACAGCCAAGCAUAGUGGUGAUUUCCAGUUCUCAAGAGACCAAUGCUGUUCAACCAACUUCUUGCAAGAGUUUUUUGAUGAAUAUUGUCCAAAGUGUGAAUGGGAAAAAUGGUGUAGUCAAGUCACAAAUCAAGAGGUUUGAAAGCUAUGGUUAGUAGACCUAAAAUCCAACAAGAACAGCAAGCAGUCAAGUAAACAGGGGGGUUACAUGUGACCAAAAUCUUAAGUCACAUUUGACCAUGAAUACAUCGAAACACCUUAAUAAAGGGAAGCACCGAAACAAUCUGAGUGAACAUACUUAAUAACGUUUUAUGUCAUCUUAAGGCUUAUUCGGUGUAAGUCUUUUUCUCAUCUGGUUUAAAACUGCAGAGAAAACAUUACAAUGGUUCAUACAAAGCUCCAGCCAUGAUGUCAUCUCAUUGUUUCCAGUGAAGCUUCAGCAAUAAUGUUGUCAAAAGUGAUGCUGGGUGUCGUCCUGUCCCUCCUCACCCUUCUGACUAUUGGUGGCAAUGUGCUGGUGUGCCUGGCUGUCUGUGCCUCUCGACGCCUCCGCUGCCUCACUAACUGCUUCAUUGUGUCGCUGGCUGUGACAGACCUGCUGCUUGGCCUCUUGGUCCUCCCUUUCUCUGCCCUUCUGCAGCUCAACAAUGAGUGGCCGCUCGGCCCGGUCUUCUGUAACUUCUACAUCUCCAUGGAUGUCAUGCUGUGCACUGCCUCCAUCCUCACCCUCCUGGCUAUCAGCGUGGACCGCUACUUGGCAGUGACCAUGCCUUUGAGAUAUGCCUCAAUUGUGUUGCCAUGGAGAGUUGCAGUGGCCAUGGCCACUGUUUGGACUGUGUCUGUGGCUGUGUCUUUCUUGCCUAUUCAAAUGGGGUGGAACACUGUUAAUGGGACAGUGCAGAACCAUGGGCCUUUUGCUCCAGAAAGGAAAUGUCGUUUUGAGUUGAACAGACCCUACGUACUGACUGACUCUCUCCUUACUUUCUACCUACCAUUGGUGGCUAUGUGCUGGACCUACCUUCGAAUACUUCGUAUUGCACGGGCACAGGCCAAGCGCAUUAUCAGUGCCCGACCCACUUGCAUCACUAGCUACAACUACAGGAAUAAUCCCUCUACCAGUACCACUAUGGUUUCCAGUGUUACAGUAGUGGCUCUGCGGGAACACAAAGCCACAGUGACACUUGCAGCAGUAAUAGGGGCUUUUGUCGUGUGCUGGCUGCCUUAUUUCAUCCUGUUCACAGUGUUGGGCCUAAAGGAGCACCCGGACCCUAGCACUGUACCAGCAUUUCCCAUUGUGUUGUGGCUGGGUUACACCAACUCAGCCCUCAAUCCUAUCCUCUAUGGAGCCCUCAACAGGGACUUCAGGUCAGCCUACGCCCAUCUACUGAGAUGUCGAUGCCCUACUUCCAGUGGAUGGAGGAGCCGACAGCCGUCUCCCACUGUAACAUCAGCCAGAGAACAGCUUACAGAGGUGACAUUGCUGUGUGGCCACACCCCUGCCACAUGCAGGGCAGGCCUGACAGAUCAAAACGUCAUGCUUCAAGAAAUGAACAGUAGGACAACCACAGCAACUAUCCAGCUGGCAAAUGGCACUGCUGCCACAGAUGUCAAUGGCAAUGAAAGGUCAUGCUGAGCCCGUGCAGGUGAGGUGGAUGGUGUGUUCAUACAACCAGAAUCCAUCUUGAAGAGAACACACGACAUACAGACAAAAAGACGGACCGAGAUUUACAGCCCCUCUAUUUGGAAGCUUUCAGUGCCACAGCAGAAGCACACAAUACACCAUCACUCACUCUAUCCAUAAGUCAAAAAAAAAACAAAAAAACUGAGAAAACAGGACCUCAGCAACUCCACACCUCAUCACCAAGAAGCAACUGUGCGCACACAGCCAGCCUCAAUCCAUCCAAGACCGGACAAAUGAAGACGCUUCAACGUGGAUGAAGUUAAAAACUCAAAUAGUCAAACAGUUAGUCCACUGCAUCAUCACACAGGGCACCAACUGGCCCUGACAUGCUCUUGAAGAGCUCUGGAAGAGUAUAUGACCCCAGCCAAUUAACUUGCAGGUCACCAAUCUCAUGAACUACACUUUUUAUGCUAACUCAAGACUGCACUCCAGUGGAAACACAAAGUAUCACAACUUGAACAAAGUAAAUGGACUGAUAAUUAAAAAUGGGUGUUUGACAAAAUCAGAGAAUGGAAAGGUAAAAGUGAUAAAUGGACUUAUGAAUGUGUUGAACUGUAUGACAUUUGAAUGUGGAGCAUGCAAACUAAUGUUAUGUGUCGAAGAAUGUAGCUGCCUCCAGACUUUGUCUUUAUUGUUGCUCAUUCACUGGCAUAAAGCUGGCAAAUGUAUGUAUUGUAUGAUACUAUAAAAAUAACAGAGGACUAAAAAAAAUGGCAUGAACGCUUCCUCUAAAACAGAACAUUACAACCAAACUGUACCAA